rnacentral:lncRNA from 1 species
UGCUCUUGUUGCUCUGUUCUGCUUUUCAAUCCAUCUCCUCUCAUCACGACUAUAAAAUAGAAAAUAUUGGAAACAAACUACUGCUUAUAGAUGCUAUGACUGGAAAAUGCAAUAUUUUAUAAAAUAUUUAUAUGUACAUAACAUCCUAGAGGUUAAAAUGCUGUGUCAUUACUAACAUUAAACAAUGAUUUUUUUUUUUUUGAGACAGACUUUUGCUCUUGUCGCCCAGGCUGGAGUGCAAUGGCGUGAUUUUGGCUCAUUGCAACCUCUGCCUCCCAGGUUCAAGUGAGUCUCCUGCCUCAGCCUCCGGAGUAGCUGGAAUUACAGGUGCCUGUCACCAUGCCUGGCUACUUUUUCUAUUUUUAGUAGAGACAGGGUUUCGCCAUGUUGGCCAGGCUGGUCUCGCACUCCUGACCUCGGGUGAUCUGCCCGCCUCAGCCUCCCAAAGUGCUGGGAUUACAGGCAUGAGCCACUGCACCCUGCCUCUUUUUCCCUCUUGCUCCUCCCUUAGUUUCUGGAAGAAUACGCUGCCUGAUGUUUAGGAAGUAUUUCUUCAAAUAACAAAGUGUCUUUUUCUUUGUUUUCUUUCUACUUCUGUCACCCUUCUUAGUAUCUUCUGCUGUUUUUCCUCCUCUUCCUACCCCUUAAAUAUCCAUGCUCCCCAAUGUUGUCUUUUUCUUUUAAAAUGGAUGAGGUGGUGGGAGAAUCAGCUAACACUUUCUGAGUGCUUACUUUUCUAAAUGUUUUAUACAUAUGCUUUAGCUUAUUUAGUCCUCUAAACAACCAAUGACAUAGGAACUCUUAUUAUCCAUUAUUUGUUUGGCAUUUAUCAUGCAGCAAGUACUAACUUAAGUGCUUUAUAAGCAUCCUUUUAUUAAUCCUCAAGGUAAACCUUUGAGCUGUUAACAAUCUCACUGUAGCAACAAGGGAAAUGAGGUACACACAUAUCUGGGAACUUUCCCAAGGUCGAAGUGCACCAAAUGGCAGAACCAGAUUUGAAUUCAGGCACUCCAAUUCCACAGCAUACGCAUUUAACUAUUAUACAAGUACCUACUAAAGCAUUAUCUAUUUGUUUAUACUUUUGUCCCUUGCUGUUGUCAUUCAAUUCCUCACAGCAACCACCACUAUGUGCCAAUGACUUCAAAAAGUCUUUGGCUGUAACCUCUUUUUGGAGUCAUAGACCAAUUUCUAACCAUCUACUAGACAGCUUCACCACUAUGGUACCAAAACCUCAGUCUUCACAUAGUCAAACUUGGACACAAACAGCACCUCCCACAAACAUUCUUAUCCUCAUCCCAGCAUUGGUUACUGACCACACACUCUAGCAGGUCACUCAAGCGCUAAUGCUGGGAAGGACCUCUGAAUACUUCUCUUUGUCUUGUGCCACACAGCCAGGGUCACCAAAGCCUGUUAAUGCUACCUCCAAAAAAGGCAAAUCUGACCCCUCUUCCUCAAAACCCAGCCACAUAGUAAGUUCAAGGAUUCAGUCACAGGUCUGCCUUAGUGCACUAGCCCUAUAACAGUAAACUAUUCACUUCCCCUCCAGUCCCUUGCCCCCUUUCAAGCAAUUUCCUGUACUGCCAAGGGAAUUACUUUUCUAAAAUUAGCUAAGAAACUUUUGAUGGUAUCUUACUGUCCCAAAAAUAAAUUUUAAUUCCUUCUUUAGCAUGGUAUAAAAAGGACACAACAGAGUUUGGUCUAGUGUCCUUUUAAAGACACUAGAUUUCUCAUCACCAUACCGCAUGUACCCUAUACGACUUAUCAAUUCCUCAAGAGGCACUACAUAUUCUUUUACUCCUUUGUGUCUUUGUAUAUCUUACUCCUUCUGCCCAGAAUACUUUUCUCACUUCUCUGCUUCACUAAUUGCUGCCUGUCCUUUUAAGACCGGUGCAAACAUUAUCUUUUCUGUGAACUCUUCCUGGAUUUCUCCAGCAGAGACAGUAUCUCAUGGCUAGUGCUAAUGCUCUCAAGACUUAGUAAUAAACAGAUGCUA